rnacentral:rRNA from 1 species
CCUACGGGUGGCAGCAGUGGGGAAUAUUGGACAAUGGGCGCAAGCCUGAUCCAGCAAUGCCGCGUGUGUGAAGAAGGCCUUCGGGUUGUAAAGCACUUUUAUCAGGAGCGAAAUACUACCGGCUAAUAUCCGGUGGGGCUGACGGUACCUGAGGAAUAAGCACCGGCUAACUUCGUGCCAGCAGCCGCGGUAAUACGAAGGGUGCAAGCGUUAAUCGGAAUUACUGGGCGUAAAGCGUGCGUAGGCGGUUUGUUAAGUCUGCUGUGAAAUCCCCGGGCUCAACCUGGGAAUGGCAGUGGAUACUGGCAAGCUAGAGUGUGUCAGAGGAUGGUGGAAUUCCCGGUGUAGCGGUGAAAUGCGUAGAUAUAGGAAGGAACACCAGUGGCGAAGGCGACCACCUGGACUGAUACUGACACUGAGGUGCGAAAGCGUGGGGAGCA